AUGUCCAUUAUUAUUGCCAACUGGGGCUUGGUGACCCACAAAAAACAAUAUGGGGGCUUAGGGAUUCCAAAUAUUGCUGAGAUGAACUUAAGUCUACUAGCCUCCUGGGUUUAUAAAUUUCAUAAUGGUGAUAGCAAGAUGUGGAAGCAGAUUGUUGACUAUAAAUAUAGAGCCAGUAAUCCCAAUAUAUUCUCUUGCCCUGAUUCUAACUCUUCCCCUUUUUGGAAAGGGGUGUUAUGGGCUGCUAAAGCAGCCAAGCAAGGGUAUCAAUGGAAGGUGGGCAAUGGGAAGAGAGUUAAAUUUGGGGAAGAUCGUUGGUUUGGGUCCUGUAGCUUGGCUAUUCAGUUUUGGGAAUUGUAUAGUAUUGCUAAUGAGCAUAAUCAAGCUAUUGCUGACCUUUGGGAUGGUAGUAACCUUAAGAUCACUUUUAGGAGAUGUAUUGAUAACAGAUUGCUUCUCCUGUGGUAUGACCUGCUGAAUAUUGUGCAGUCUGUUACUUUCAAUGAUGAUGAGGAUGCAUUAAUCUGGAAGCUAGAGGCUGGUGGUGUUUAUUCUGUUAGAUCUAUGUAUGCCAUGGUCAAUUUUAGGGGCAUUAGCCCAGUUCAUAUUCCUGACAUUUGGAAAAAUCAUGUCCCUCCCAAUAUCCUCAUUUUUUAUGGCUGCUUGCUCAUAACAAAAUAUUGCUUAGGGAGAACCUUGCUAAGAGACAAAACUUAA
rnacentral:rRNA from 1 species